AGAGUUUGAUCCUGGCUCAGAGCUAACGUUGGCGGCGUGCCUAACACAUGCAAGUCUAAGGUGAUAGUUCGCAAGAAUGUGUAGCCUGGCGCACGGGUGAGUAACACGUGGAUAACCUACCUUAUGGUCUGGGAUAACCUAGGGAAACUUGGGACAAUACCAGAUGAUGUGUCAUGCCCUGCGGGGUGUGCCAUGAAAGACGGAGUAAUCUGUCACCAGAGGAGGGGUCCGCGUCCCAUUAGCUAGUUGGCGGGGUAAAGGCCCACCAAGGCUACGAUGGGUAGCUGGUCUGAGAGGAUGAUCAGCCACACUGGCACUGACACACGGGCCAGACUCCUACGGGAGGCAGCAGUGAGGAAUAUUGCGCAAUGGACGAAAGUCUGACGCAGCGACGCCGCGUGAGGGAUGAAGGCCUUCGGGUUGUAAACCUCUGUAGAAGGGGAAGAAUAAGGUUGGGAGUAACUGCCCAAUCGAUGACGGUACCCUUAAAGUAAGCACCGGCUAACUCCGUGCCAGCAGCCGCGGUAAUACGGAGGGUGCAAACGUUGCUCGGAAUUACUGGGCGUAAAGGGGGCGCAGGCGGAUUGGUAAGUCAGAUGUGAAAGCCCUGGGCUCAACCUAGGAACUGCAUUUGAAACUGCCUGUCUAGAGUUUGAAAGAGGAAAGCGGAAUUCCUGGUGUAGCGGUGAAAUGCGUUGAUAUCAGGAGGAACACCGGUAGCGAAGGCGGCUUUCUGGUUCACAACUGACGCUCAUGCCCGAAAGCGUCGGGUAGCAAACAGGAUUAGAUACCCUGGUAGUCCACGCCCUAAACGAUGAAAACUAGACGUUGGAGGAGUUAACCCCUCCAGUGUCAAAGCUAACGCGUUAAGUUUUCCGCCUGGGGAGUACGGUCGCAAGAUUAAAACUCAAAGGAAUUGACGGGGACCCGCACAAGCGGUGGAGCAUGUGGUUUAAUUCGAUGAUACGCGAAGAACCUUACCUGGGUUUGACAUGGUAGAGAACCUUGCAGAGAUGCGAGGGUGCCUUCGGGAGCUUUAUCACAGGUGCUGCACGGCUGUCGUCAGCUCGUGUCGUGAGAUGUUGGGUUAAGUCCCGCAACGAGCGCAACCCCUGCCUCUAUUUGCCAACAGCUCGGCUGGGAACUCUAGAGGGAUUGCCCCGGUAAACGGGGAUGAAAGAGGGGACGACGUCAAGUCAUCAUGGCCUUUAUAUCCAGGGCUACACACGUGCUACAAUGGACGGUACAAAGGGCUGCAAAACCGCGAGGUGAAGCCAAUCCCAGAAAACCGUUCUCAGUUCAGAUCGCAGUCUGCAACUCGACUGCGUGAAGUCGGAAUCGCUAGUAAUCGCGGAUCAGCAACGCCGCGGUGAAUACGUUCCCGGGUCUUGUACACACCGCCCGUCACACCACGAGGGUCGAAAGGACUGGAAGUAGGUACCUUAACCUUCGGGGGGGGGCUUACCAAGGUUUGUUCGGUGAUUGGGGUGAAGUCGUAACAAGGUG
rnacentral:rRNA from 1 species